rnacentral:rRNA from 1 species
CUACGGGUUGCUGCAGUAAGGAAUAUUGCGCAAUGGAGGCAACUCUGACGCAGCCAUGCCGCGUGCAGGAAGAAGGCCUUAUGGGUCGUAAACUGCUUUUAUUUAGAAAUAAACCCUCGCUCGUGAGCGAGGCUGAAGGUACUGAAUGAAUAAGCACCGGCUAACUCCGUGCCAGCAGCCGCGGUAAUACGGAGGGUGCAAGCGUUAUCCGGAUUUAUUGGGUUUAAAGGGUGCGCAGGCGGGCUAUUAAGUCAGUGGUGAAAUCCCGGGGCUCAACUCCGGAACUGCCAUUGAUACUGAUAGUCUUGAGUUUGGUUGAAGUGGGCGGAAUGUAGCAUGUAGCGGUGAAAUGCAUAGAUAUGCUACAGAACACCAAUCGCGAAGGCAGCUCACUAAGCCAAAACUGACGCUCAUGCACGAAAGCGUGGGGAUCAAACAGGAUUAGAUACCCCAGUAGUC